AUUCCAGCUCUGUAAGCGUAUACCAAAGUUGUUGCAGUUAAAACGCUCGUAGUCGGACGUUGGCGGGCGCCUCGAGUCGGCCUCACGGUCGAUCUUGUUGGCGACCGCCUUUGUGGAGGGGGGCUUAGGUCGGUGCUUUAUUGUCAUCCCUUUGUCGCUGCCACCGUUUACUGUGAAAAAAUUAGAGUGUUCAAAGCGGGCGUUUGCCAUGAAUACAUUAGCAUGGAAUAAUAGAAUAGGACCUGGUCCUGUUUUGUUGGUUUGUGAGUAUCAGGUAAUGAUUAAGAGGGACGGUUGGGGGCAUUUGUAUUCCGGCGUCAGAGGUGAAAUUCUUGGAUUGCCGGAAGACAAACAGCUGCGAAAGCGUCUGCCAAGGACGUUUUCAUCA
rnacentral:rRNA from 1 species